ensembl:lncRNA
AAUGAGAAACACGUUAAAUAAUUGACGUCUUGUGAAGAACCUGACAAGUGAUGCAGGUGUGUGAGGGAGGAUGGACAGUGGAAGUAUCCUCAUGGAAGAUCAGAAGUGCGAUGAUGUACCUGAAGAGCGAUUGGCCUACGAAGAUGAAGGAAGUUCACCAACAAAGCCUGAGAAAGUUCUUGGUGCAGAAAGGUAAGAGACAGUGUGUUUCUGUGUUUAUGUACCACAUGCACAUGUAGCCCACUUAGUAUUUUCAACAUCAUUUUUCUCUAAUGUGUUUUGUUUCAUAUUUUCACACAAUAUUUUUAUUUCAUGUUAAUUAGUUUUUCCUCGUUCUGGAAGCUUCUAACAAAUCAAAUGUUAGUAUGGACAUGAUCGAUUGCAUGUGAUGAGCCAAUCAGAAAUUGAGGUGAACCCUAACAAAACCUGUGUGUGGAGGGACGAGAGGAGAGCAUGCGGGGGAUUUGAGGAGAUAUGGUUAAAGCGUCAUGAAACACUAAACUACAUUUUCUGAGAUUUUAACAGAGCCGUUUGUGUCGCACAUCAUAAAAGACAAUCUUAACAUCCGUUAAUUUUAAUUGUAGGACAAAACUGGUUAAUUUUGAGAUUUUUUCCGCUAUUUCCGUCUUCUGGGUUUAAAAUCUUGUCAUGUCGCACGUCACAGGUGAUGACGUGGCAAUGUACUAUAGUACAUCGAUGAUGCGUCGGUGUGUCGGUAUGUGUCUAAUUUUUAACCAUGACAGUUUUACUAUCCUUUUGAGCUAAUUAAACUGUUUAUUAAGCCGACGGGAUGUCGCAUGCAAAACUAUGCAACGAGAGUCCGCCUUGAAGGGACGAGCCUUCGCUUUUUAUUCGUGAAAAGCACAAGCCUAUUAGCUAGCUACCAUUCCGACACUUCUCCCAUCCGUGCUGCCUCCGGCAUUGUUUUGUUUUGUUUUCCGCUAUAUGUCACACCAGGGGGAGAGGACCUGCACCGCUGUCUCCAUUUAGCCCUGGAGAUUCAGUAGGAGAGAAGUCCUCUGCCUCUUCAGAGCCCUGCCUACUCCUGCCACUGCAAACUUUUUGUCACUAUCCAUCUUUAUUGUGAGUGUUAUGAAGCCCUGCCCCCUCUUCCUCCCCUGCCAUGCCCACUCCCCUCCCUUCUUCGCACAGCCAUCCAAGCCC